rnacentral:rRNA from 1 species
AUUGAACGCUGGCGGAAUGCUUUACACAUGCAAGUCGAGCGGCAGCGCGGGGGCAACCCUGGCGGCGAGCGGCGAACGGGUGAGUAAUGCAUCGGAACGUACCCAGUCGUGGGGGGAUAACGUGGCGAAAGUCACGCUAAUACCGCAUACGUCCUGAGGGAGAAAGCAGGGGAUCGCAAGACCUUGCGCGAUUGGAGCGGCCGAUGUCUGAUUAGCUAGUUGGUGGGUAAAGGCCUACCAAGGCGACGAUCAGUAGCUGGUCUGAGAGGACGAUCAGCCACACUGGGACUGAGACACGGCCCAGACUCCUACGGGAGGCAGCAGUGGGGAAUUUUUGGACAAUGGGCGAAAGCCUGAUCCAGCCAUUCCGCGUGAGUGAAGAAGGCCUCGGUUGUAAG